GUAUCCUGAAAAGAAGGGUAGGCGCCUCUGCU
rnacentral:piRNA from 1 species